rnacentral:rRNA from 1 species
GAUGAACGCUGGCGGCGUGCCUAAUACAUGCAAGUCGAGCGAACAGACGAGGAGCUUGCUCCUUCGACGUUGCGGCGGACGGGUGAGUAACACGUAGGUAACCUACCUAUAAGACUGGGAUAACUUCGGGAAACCGGAGCUAAUACCGGAUAAUAUUUCGAACCGCAUGGUUCGAUAGUGAAAGAUGGCUUUGCUAUCACUUAUAGAUGGACCUGCGCCGUAUUAGCUAGUUGGUAAGGUAACGGCUUACCAAGGCAACGAUACGUAGCCGACCUGAGAGGGUGAUCGGCCACACUGGAACUGAGACACGGUCCAGACUCCUACGGGAGGCAGCAGUAGGGAAUCUUCCGCAAUGGGCGAAAGCCUGACGGAGCAACGCCGCGUGAGUGAUGAAGGUCUUCGGAUCGUAAAACUCUGUUAUUAGGGAAGAACAAACGUGUAAGUAACUGUGCACGUCUUGACGGUACCUAAUCAGAAAGCCACGGCUAACUACGUG